rnacentral:rRNA from 1 species
CAAUCGAACCCGGAGAUAGCUGGUUCUCCCCGAAAUAGCUUUAGGGCUAGCGUCGGAAAGAACCUUAGUGAAGGUAGAGCACUGAAUGUGUGAUGGCCCCAUCCCGGGGUACUGAAUACAAUCAAACUGCGAAUGUCAUUAAGGAUGUCCGGCAGUCAGACUGUGAGUGAUAAGGUCCAUGGUCAAGAGGGAAACAGCCCAGACCGCCAGUUAAGGUCCCAAAAUACAGGCUAAGUGGAAAAGGAUGUGGGGAUGCCCAGACAACUAGGAGGUUGGCUCAGAAGCAGCCAUCCUUUAAAGAGUGCGUAACAGCUCACUAGUCGAGUGACCCUGCGCCGAAAAUGUACCGGGGCUAAGCCUGAUACCGAAACUGCGGAUUGUAGGAAACUAUAGUGGUAGGGGAGCGUUGUAUACGAGCAGAAGCCGUACCGUGAGGAGCGGUGGAUUGUAUAGAAGUGAGAAUGCCGGUGUGAGUAGCGAGAUGUAGGUGAGAAUCCUACACACCGAAAGCCCAAGGAUUCCAGGGGAAGGUUCGUCCGCCCUGGGUAAGUCGGGACCUAACGCGAGGCCGAAAGGCGUAGUGGAUGGAAAGCAGGCGAAAGAUUCCUGCACCCGUAUAUGGAGCGAAGGAGUGACGGAGACGGAUAGUGUGACCCUCUUAAUGGAUUGAGGGCGAAGCGAAGCGGCUGGUUACCAGGCAAAUCCGGUAACCAUAAGGCUAGAGCGUGACAGGUAAGCGAAAUCUUAGGAAAGUAGCGAAGCACAUGAUGACGGCUUCCAGGAAAAGCUUCUGGCAAUGCAUAUGCGGCCCGUACCAAAACCGACACAGGUGGGCAGGGAGAGAAUCCCGAGGUGAGCGAGAGAACUGUUGCCAAGGAACUCGGCAAAAUGACUCCGUAAGUUAGCGAGAAGGAGUGCUUAAGCAAUUAAGCCGCAGUGAAGAGGCCCAAGCGACUGUUUAACUAAAACACAGCUCUCUGCGAAGUCGCAAGACGAAGUAUAGGGGGUGACACCUGCCCGGUGCUGGAAGGUUAAGAGGAUCUGUUAAGAGCGAUCUGAAGCAGUGAUCCGAAGCCCCAGUGAACGGCGGCCGUAACUAUAACGGUCCUAAGGUAGCGAAAUUCCUUGUCAGGUAAGUUCUGACCCGCACGAAAGGUG